AUGUAUGCAGGAGGGUGUGCUUGCUCCAAAGAAGAUCAGCCUGAGCAACUUUGCCAUGGAUUCUCUAAACUCGGAUUCAUCCAAGAAUCAGCUCCACGGCACAGCUUUCUGCAAUGGCAGACAACCAGGGCACAGCUCCUGUCAAAACUCACCACUUCCACCAAUACCGUCGCCAGAAUAAUCAGGAUGUUGGAUUGGACAAGUCCAAAGGAUACAACCAUCAGAUUAUAUGCUGCGAGGGUCACCACUGAACUUGCAAAGGACCUCCGUAUAGUUACUUUCCCCGGUACAAUGCAGCUUGUAUCAGCACUUCUUGAUGCUGAUAGAAGACCUAAAAGGGGAAAUCCACUUCUGGACACAGAUGAUGAGCAAGAAGAAAGGCAAGAUCAAUUGCUGAAUACAGAAGAUAGCGAGGAGCAAGAACAUCAUACAGUAAGGGAUGUAGCUGUUAACCAAUCGCAAAGCCAAGACCCACUUCAAGACACCGAUAACCUGCUCGAAGAAACACAAACACCCUCGACCCAACAACCUUUUGUCGACAAACAGAACUCUUACAUAAUCAGAUGCUGGCAGUGGAUUAAAGAAUUACGUUCAACUCCCAAGGAGCAGACGUCGACAGACCAUGAUCUUCUCCCUGCACUGGCCAUGUCAAUAAUAGAAAGUCUUGCUGGGUGUGAUCAGGAAAACUGUGUGGAAAUCAGCAACGCAGCUAACCUCAUUCCGAAAAUCAUAGGAUUCACGAGAUUCAAACGUGCCAUGAACACUGUGGAUACCGAGGCAGAACAAAAGAUCAUGUUAAAGUCAUCGCUGAAGGUUCUGCAAAGACUCACAGGCAUUGGCGGGGAAAUCGGCAUAACACUGCGGUACAAGAUAUCAAAACACCCCUUCCUAUUGAGAAACAUUGUAGAAAUCUUGAAAGACAACAGAAGCAGCCAGGAAUCGAGAAAGUUGGUGGCCGGAAUCCUCAGGAACAUUGCCAUUGAUGGGAACACAAGGCAGGACAUUGGUCGCAUUCAACUGAUCAUCACCAGGCUGAAGUAG
rnacentral:rRNA from 1 species